rnacentral:tRNA from 1 species
GGGCCCUUAGCUCAGUUGGCUUAGAGCGCCACAUUUGCAAUGUGGAGGUCAAGGGUUCGAGCCCCUUAGGGUCCACCA